rnacentral:ncRNA from 1 species
UUUUUAUUUUUAGUAAUUUGAUUCUAGUUAAAUUGAAUAGCUUCUCUUUGAUUUUACAUGUGUGUUUUUGUGGGAUUAAUAUAUUCUUAAAGGAUGGAUUAAUUUGUUUAUUCGCAGUUUUUAAUAUUAAUACUUAUUUAAUAAAUGUUAGAUUUAGUUAUUGGUAUUAUAUGAUCAGCUAAAAGUGUGCCAGCAGCUGCGGUUAUACACUUGAUCAGAGUUAUUUUUAUUUAAUUAUAAUUAUUGGGGUGUUUUGAGUUUAAAUUAUUAUAUUUUUAAGGUAAAAUUUAAAAAGGUUUAAUUAACUUUGGUUAGGAAUUUAUGAAAUUUUUAUAUAAACUAGGAUUAGAUACCCUAUUAUUUUGAAUGUAAAUUAAAAUUAGUAUUAAUAGUUAUGAUCUUUAAAUUAAAAGAAUUUGACGGUAAUUUAAUCUGUUCAGAGGAACCUGUGUAGUAAUCGAUGGUCCACGAUAAAUUUUACCUUAAAAUUGUGGGUUUGUAUAUCUCUGUCUUAAGAAUGUUUUAUUAGAAUGAUUUUCUUUACUUAAUAUUUAAUUUAAGUCAGGUCAAGGUGCAGCUUUUUAAGGGUUAUUAUGGGUUACAUUAAUUUAUGAAUUUUGGGUUGAAGGUUUUAUUACCUUUAAUUAAAUUGGAUUUGAUUGUAAUAUAUUUUAUAUAUUUUUUAUGAUAUUUGCUCUAGAUUAAGUACACAUCGCCCGUCGCUCUUAUUUAUUUAUAAAGAUAAGAUAAGUCGUAACAAAGUAGGCUUAUCGGAAGAUGAGCCUGGAAUGAAUU